rnacentral:lncRNA from 1 species
ACAGAUACAGCCUCUUCCUCUUCCGAAAGGUCAUCAGAAAACAUGAAGUUCAAUGCAGCAAAGAAUUACUGUUUGCAACUCUUAAAAAUGUCAUUCUCUUUAUAGAACUGGGUUAAAAAUCUACUUGUUUUUUUAUUUCAAAUUUCACUGCAGAGAGUGGCGUCUUAACCUACAAGACACCCACUCCAAGGUAAUGUCAUCCUAGUGAGGUCUAGCUGGUCUGAAGAGUUGGUCAACUUGUCAGAUCUACCAAACUCUUGGGAGAUUGUAAACUUUUGUGGGCAUAUUGGUUUCUGUUCAUUUUCACAAGAUUGACAGGCUCAUUAUGGUAAUACGGACAUCUCUACCUGAGAGCUCAUACUGUGCAAUUGUAAUUUUGCAUAUGCUAAUGAGAAGACAAUUCUAUCAGAGUGAACAUUUGGGCUGAGGUGCAAGGCACCAUUUAAUUAUAAGAACAGUAUGGGAUUGAGCUCUGUCAUGGAUUCUUCCAUUCCUUCCACCUUGUCUCUUUCCAAAUUCUUCUAUUUCUUCCUAGAUUUCCUUCCUCCUCUGCUUUCUCUCUCCUUAAUAAAUGACAGAUCCUUUUUUUUUUCUUAUGCCAUUUCUAUGGCUGCACUUGAAACAAGAAUUCUUUCCCCCUAGUUGUUGGUUAACAUCUGCAAAUGUGAGAGAAUUUUAACAUGACAAACAACAAGGAAUUAGAAAUAAACUAAAAUGAAACA